CUCCCUCCCUCCUCGCCCCCCGCCGCCUCAGCCGUUCCAGAAGUUCACGAAGAAGCUGCAGAGCGAGUGCCACUGCUCCGCACAAACCGGGACAUCAUGAACAACAGUGCUACAAGCCUCCUAUAUAUUAUCCCAGUGAUGUACCUCGACCCUUACCAGGAGAGAGAUCGUUUCUUCAGAUGAGAAGACCGACACCUAUCUCCUGGGAUGUACACUACCGAGAGUAAAGGACAAAAAAAAAAUUCUAAACUACAAUUGUGAAAG